rnacentral:rRNA from 1 species
UGAUGGAGGGCGGGGGAGGACGCGUAAAAAACUUGCCUCACAGCUAGGGACAACAUUAAAAAUGAAUGCUAAUACCUGAUAUUAUGGUUAUAGGGCAUCCUAUAAUUAUGAAAGCUAUAAGCACUGUGAGAGAGCUUUGCGUCCCAUUAGCUAGUUGGAGAGGUAACAGCUCACCAAGGCAAUGAUGGGUAGCCGGCCUGAGAGGGUGAACGGCCACAAGGGGACUGAGACACGGCCCUUACUCCUACGGGAGGCAGCAGUGGGGAAUAUUGGACAAUGGACCGAGAGUCUGAUCCAGCAAUUCUGUGUGCACGAUGAAGUUUUUCGGAAUGUAAAGUGCUUUCAGUUGGGAAGAAAAAAAUGACGGUACCAACAGAAGAAGUGACGGCUAAAUACGUGCCAGCAGCCGCGGUAAUACGUAUGUCACGAGCGUUAUCCGGAUUUAUUGGGCGUAAAGCGCGUCUAGGUGGUUAUGUAAGUCUGAUGUGAAAAUGCAGGGCUCAACUCUGUAUUGCGUUGGAAACUGUAUAACUAGAGUACUGGAGAGGUAAGCGGAACUACAAGUGUAGAGGUGAAAUUCGUAGAUAUUUGUAGGAAUGCCGAUGGGGAAGCCAGCUUACUGGACAGAUACUGACGCUAAAGCGCGAAAGCGUGGGUAGCAGACAGG